AUACAGGUAUUGCACCGAUAUCCAAACUCAAUUUUUCUGCCUAUGGCGGCCUUUAUUUCACGGACACGACAUUUCUCGACGUCGAUUCAAAGCAGAAGCUUGAGAACGAUUCUACAUUUUGCGUUAGACCACACUGCAAAAGAACUUUUUGGGAUUGCAAUGUUGAGGAACUGAGAUAUUAUACAUACAAAGAACCAAACAGAAGGCCAUGGCGUGAUCUCUUCUCGUAUGCUUCUGCUCUGAUCGACGUUGGCUUUGCAAGACAGCCUCCACCAGACCAUCCCCUUCUUCUUCUUCAGCAGCGCGCAUCAUACCAAGUCUUCAUGGACAAACACUUGAAUCUGCUGAAGAAUGGGCAUGCUUGUCUUCUCCAAUCUUAUAAAACACCCAGCAAUUCUGUCCAACUUUAUACCCACUCUGUUCCACCCGGACCCACACAAGAGGAACGUUUUUGUCUCCAGGGAUGACCCCACAACCAUCACUGGCUUCAUAGACUGGUAGUCCACCAGUGUCGAACCGGCAUUUGAGCACGCUCACGACUUCCCCGACUUUGCAAGCAUCCCCUUAGGGGGAACAUCAGAAAACGCCGAAACAAGUCUCUGCUACCAAGCAUAUGAGCUAAGGUGGGUUAUAUUAGCUCUCUAACUAGGUGCAACCAGG
rnacentral:sRNA from 1 species